rnacentral:rRNA from 1 species
UACGUAGGGUGCGAGCGUUAAUCGGAAUUACUGGGCGUAAAGCGUGCGCAGGCGGCGAUGUAAGACAGGUGUGAAAUCCCCGGGCUUAACCUGGGAACUGCAUUUGUGACUGCAUCGCUGGAGUGCGGCAGAGGGGGAUGGAAUUCCGCGUGUAGCAGUGAAAUGCGUAGAUAUGCGGAGGAACACCGAUGGCGAAGGCAAUCCCCUGGGCCUGCACUGACGCUCAUGCACGAAAGCGUGGGGAGCAAACAGG